rnacentral:rRNA from 1 species
GACGGAGGAUGCAAGCGUUAUCCGGAAUGAUUGGGCGUAAAGCGUCCGCAGGCGGCAGUUCAAGUCUGCUGUCAAAGACCGGGGCUUAACUUCGGAAAGGCAGUGGAAACUGAACAGCUAGAGUAUGGUAGGGGCAGAGGGAAUUCCUGGUGUAGCGGUGAAAUGCGUAGAGAUCAGGAAGAACAUCAGUGGCGAAGGCGCUCUGCUGGACCAUAACUGACACUCAGGGACGAAAGCUAGGGGAGCGAAUGGG